rnacentral:lncRNA from 1 species
GAUACUCAGGCCUUACCCUUAUGAUAUAUUUUGCAAUUGAUACACAAAGGUGACAAUGUAGUUGACAAAUCUUUUGGGUCACCAUAGAGAAAGUAUCUCAUGUCAUUCCAUGAAUGGUUUGUUGUCGAGCACAAGAAACUUAAGGACAAGCUAUAACAGGGGUGACAAAGUGUCCAUUGCAGGGAAGGGAAAUGAAGAAGUGCUUGGGAGCUCAUUAUAUGCCUCUAGCUGUCAAAUACGAUGACUAACAUCAAAUUGCAGAUUAACAAAAGAAAGCAUUUCGCCUGCCUUCCUGGUUGGAGAGACUUCUUCAGUCCUUCACAUUAGCGAUGCCUCCUGGUGUUAUCUAAAAAAUGUGUGUUUGUCAAGUCCAACAUAUAUGGAAUAUCUCAGUCUCAUCUUAUUGACAGAUGAGAUCUUGCUAAAUUUUCUGACAAAAUUGAGCGAUGGUCUUGAUAAAUGUGCAUCGUCUACGUAAUAGUGGAGCUAAUAAUAAUAUACCAGUCCUACUGAGGAAAAUUAUCAAUCCACUUCUUUUUGUUUAAUUUCUCUGCACAAAAUUUGUAGUCAACGUGUUCAUGGAUCUCCAGGCAACAUCAACUAUACUGUGAGUAUCAUGCUUAAAUCAGGCAUCCACCAAUCUCUAUAUAGCCGCAGUAUCAACUUUCUCACAGAUUUUGAUUAAGACUUCUAGAUAUUUUACUUAGUAUCUGCAUUAUGAUGUGAUAAGUUUCGAUAAAUUAUAUAAUCAGAGGAAGAUUUGGCACAAAAAGGAUAUAGCUUCAGCUUCAGAGAGGUUUGGGGCAUCAAACACCUUGGAGACAUGCUGCUUCCUUCUGACUUUCCUAACCAUCAAC